GAAAAACUGAAUGGAUAAAUGAUGCAGGACGGGUGCGGUGGCUCAUGCCUGUAAUCCCAGCACUUUUGGAGCCAAGGCAGGCAGAUCACAAGUGUGAAGUCCUUUGUGAAUGAGCCACAUUUUUUACUCAUUCAAGUCCCUACAGCAUAAUCACAUAGAUUAACUCACUUGGAUCGUUAAUUGUUACACUGUAAGAACUCCACAAACUUGAUCAGAGAGAUUCCACUUAUUUCAAAGUUACUGAGGCCAGAACAGUUCUCCCUCAUCCCUUCAAGCAUGUCUCCUGAUGUCUCCCAAAGAAUGCACUCCUCUGGCCUAUGCCUGAUUACUCUGCAGAAACUCCCGUGGUUUCUGCGAUCUCAGCAACUUCUGUCACAGAGGCUCUGGAAAUACUCUACUGAAAACGUUCAUGGAUAGCAGAAAAUGGGAUUACCUUGGCUGAAUUUUCUGAGGCUGCGUAGAGUCAUGAGACAAGUUAUGAACAGUGUGUUCUGAGCAGACAUGAUGCAUGCUGCUUUUUGGGACAAGUACUGAAUUGCUAAUGGGUGAUCCUGCAGAGUUCUUUAUUCUGUCUGGCACAUCAAGGAGCUAUAUUCAAGAUGGCAGCAGCUUUGUCAGCCUGGGCCUCUUAUUAAAUACAAUGAGCAGAGAUCUCUUUGCUGAUCUGAGAGGGACAUGUAGCACUAUUAGGAAAUACAUCUUUGUUAUUACAAGGCAUUAAGAUUUUGGAGUUUUUAUUUGUUUGUUAUCUCAGCAUAAUUUAGCCUAUCUUGACUAUGGUAGUGUGGGAGACCAAAAUAUCCUUCCUUCCCCAAAAUAUGAAAGAUUGUUGAGCUGGAAACAAUGAAGAAGUGGCAGAUGCAGAAAAGCUCCUUGUCCUUCAUUUGUUUGCAUAAUUAACAGGACACAUUAUCCUAUCCUUCCCCCCACCCAUUCUACUAGUGAGAGCAAAGUUUAACCACUGAAGACAGCUUUGGACCCUUCUCAGUUCUGAGAUGAUAAUCAGAGGAAUUUACAUUAAGAAGCCUUGCUAACUAACCACGUAACUAAUUAGUUACCUUUACUAUUUAUCUGCCAGUUAUUCACCUUCUCCCAAGUGUUGACUAGAGACCCAAAAUCCUUUUCCUUUGUUUUAUCACUUCUCUAAAAAUUUACUGUUCUUUGCUGAAGAUGCUAUGUAAGCUGGAAUUUAAAGUCAGCUCUUUGAGAACUGUUCAUUUUCUGGGUUUCUCCUAUGUAUACACGAAAUAUACAUGUUAGUAAACUGCUUAUCUUUUUGUUGUUGUUGUUAAUUUGUCACUUGUAACAGGGGUCUGCUCCAACUAAGAACCUAUGGGGAUUAUUAUUUUUCCCCUAAGGUAGGCAGAAUAAUGGUUCCCCCAGGAUUUCCAUAUCAUAAGCCCUGGAACUUGUGAAUAUCUUAGGUUAAAUGGCAGAGGGGAAUGAAGGUUGCAAAUGCAAUUAAGAUACUAAUUAGCCGUCCUUAAGAUAGACAGAUUAUCUUGGCUUAUGGGGAUGCAAUAUAAUCACAGGGAUCUUUCCAAAUGGAAGAGUGAAGCAGAAGAGAAGAUCAGAGAAAGAGAUGCAAUGAUAGAAACAGGGUCAGAGAAAUGCUGCAUUGCUGGAGUGGAAGAUGCAGGAAGUGGGCCAGCAACCAAGGAAUGUGGGGAGUCUCUAGAAGCUGGAAAAAGGAAGGAAACAUUUUGUUUUGUUUUGUUUUACCUAGAGUCUUCAGAAGGAGUGCAACCUUGCCAACACCUUGAUUUUAGUCCAGGGAUACCACUGUCAGAAUUUUAACAUAGAGACCUAUAAGAUAAUAUAUAUUGUGUUGUUUUAAGCCACAAAGUUUGCAAUAAUUUGUUAUAAAAUGAAACAAAGACAAAUACUUUGACCCAUAUGCUUAAUCCUUUAGUACUGCCCUUACAGAAGACAGACACUUCUUUAGAGAGAAUCAUAUAGCAUAGACACCCACAAAAACUUUAUUAGGGAACAUAUGAGCAACUCUGUCAUUUGGGAUAUGAAGUCAGUCAUCACACAAUGCACUGUAACCCUAAAUGCCUUCACAUGGACAGCUACAUGGGCAUAGAAUAUUAGAAUUUCCAACGGUUUAAUUUAAAACAUAUUUAAUAAAUUUUAAGUAAAUUUUCAAAAUAUGAUUUAGAAUUUGAGCUUUAUCCAAUUUCAAAAUAAGAUUAUAAAAUAAAUAAUAAUUCAGACAUUUGCCUUUUACUUUCAAUACCUUGUAUACUUUAUUUUUGAAAACAAAAAAAUAAUGCUUUAUAGUUUUUGGGAUUUUUAAUUUUUGUGGAUACAUAAUAGGUGUUUAUAUUUAUGGAGCAUAUGGGAUAUUUUCAUACAGGUAUACAAUGUAUAAUAAUCACAUCAGGGUAAAUGAGGGUGUCUAUCAAUUCAAGAACUUAUCCCUUCUUUGUGUUACAAGCAAUCCAAUUAUAUUCUUAUUUAUUUAUUUAUUUAUUUUGAGAAGGAGAGUCUUGCACUGUCGCCCAGGCUGGAGUGCAAUGGCACGAUCUUGGCUCACUGCAACCUCUGCCUCUCGGGUUCAAGCUAUUCUCCCACUGCAGCCUCCCGAGUAGCUGGGAUUACAGGCGUGUACCAUCAUACCCACCGAAUUUUUGUAUUUUUAGUAGAGACGGCGUUUCACCAUGUUGGCCAGGCUGGUCUCAAACUCCUGACCUCAGGUGAUCCACCCACCUCGGCCUCCCAAAGUUCCAGGAUUAUAGGCAGGAGCUACCACCCCCAGCCCAAUUAUAUUCUUUUAGUUAUUUUAAACAUAAAAUUAAUAUUUUACUAUAGUUGCCCUGAUGUGCUAUCAAAUACUAGUUGUUACUGAUUCUUUCUAUUUUUUGUACUGAUUAAGCAACCCCACUUCCGACUCCCAACUCCCCACUACCCUUCCCAGCCUCUGGUAACCCUCCUUCUACUCUCUAUCUACAUGAGUUCAAUCAUUUUAAUUUCUAUCUCCCACAAAUAAAUGAGAACACACGAAGUUUGUCUUUCGGUGCCUGUUUUAUUUUACUUAACAUAACGACCUCCAGUUCCGACUAUGCUGUUGCGAAUGACAGGAUCUCAUUUUUUUAAUGGCUAAAUAGUACACCAUUGUGUAUAUGUACUACAUUUUCUUGAUAAACACUAUUCACCUUUCUGCCUAUUGUGAACAUUUUAUAUAAAUGAAAUGAUAACUUGUGUAGUGUUUUGUGACUGUCUUCUUUCACUUAGCAUAGUAUUUUGAAAGUUUGUCCAUGUUGUAUUAGUAUUUUAUUCCUUUGCAUGGAUAUAGUAUAUGUUAUCUAUCUAUCCCUCAGUUGUGUUAUGCUUUUAUUAUUGUUAUAAGAGUUCUUCAUUUUACAUACAAUUCUUUUGUCAGAUACAUGAUUUGCAAAUAUCAUCUUCAAUUCUGUAGGUUGGCUAUUCACUUUUUU
rnacentral:lncRNA from 10 species